rnacentral:rRNA from 1 species
AAUCAACGCUGGCGGCGUGCCUCAGACAUGCAAGUCGAACGAUUAAACGCGUCUCUUCGGAGAGUGUAUAGAGUGGCGCACGGGUGAGUAACACGUAAGUAAUCUACCUUCGAGUGGGGAAUAACGUCCGGAAACGGACGCUAAUACCGCAUAAUGCAGCGGCAGUCGACAAGAUGACAGUUGUUAAAGAUUUAUCGCUUGAAGAGGAGCUUGCGGCAGAUUAGCUAGUUGGUAAGGUAACGGCUUACCAAGGCUACGAUCUGUAUCCGGUCUAAGAGGACGGUCGGACACACUGACACUGAAUAACGGGUCAGACUCCUACGGGAGGCAGCAGUCGGGAAUUUUGGGCAAUGGGCGAAAGCCUGACCCAGCGAACGCCGCGU